AUGAAGAUACCGCUUAAGAAUAAAAUCUUCGCAUGGUAUCUUCGUCGCGGAGUCAUUCUUACUAAAGAUAACCUUAUUAAGAGAAAUUGGCAUGAAAGUUCACAAUGUGUCUUUUGUUACCAUGAUGAGACAAUAAAACAUUUAUUCUUUCAAUGCAAAUUGGCUCGUUCUGUAUAGUCAGUCAUCCAAAUAGCUUCUGUCGUGUAUCCUCCUUGUAAUGUUACUAAUGUAUUUGGCAACUAA
rnacentral:rRNA from 1 species